AUCCAGCUGACGAGUCCCAAAUAGGAAGAAAUGCGUUUCCUGGAU
rfam:Schistosoma margrebowiei strain Zambia genome assembly, scaffold: SMRZ_contig0000218